AGCGGCGGACGGGUGAGUAACGCGUGGGUAACCUGCCUCAUACAGGGGGAUAACAGUUAGAAAUGGCUGCUAAUACCGCAUAAGCGCACAGUACCGCAUGGUACGGUGUGAAAAACUCCGGUGGUAUGAGAUGGACCCGCGUCUGAUUAGGUAGUUGGUGGGGUAACGGCCUACCAAGCCGACGAUCAGUAGCCGACCUGAGAGGGUGACCGGCCACAUUGGGACUGAGACACGGCCCAA
rnacentral:rRNA from 1 species